AAUGCUACUGCUGGCGGUAAAUUGGCUGCUUGCUUGGCGAUGAGCUUCACAGCUGUGGCCCUUCCCUGUACCGUCUGUGUUUCAGAGUGUAUUGGUCAAGCAGAAGGGAAGGAAAAGAAUGGUCCUUUGCUUUGGGCUCGGUGCCCUAAAGAGAAACUCUAGUCACUGAUAUGCAGCCCAGACUCCUGCCACUGCUACAAAGGAAGCACACAAGUCACUACAGCAACAGCUUUAUGAAGAUGCUACUAUGUGCUUGGAUUACGAAUACAAUAUGAAGUGUUUUGUUUUAUGAGGUGGUGUCUGAGACCAAUGAGGAACUUGGCUGUGCUGAAUGAAGAGCCAGAAGCUCUAAAAACGGAGAGCUAGGAGAAGGAUGGAUGGAGACCUGCAGAGGCAAAGCAGCAACCAGCUUUUCACAGAAUCACAGAAUUGUAGGGGUUGGAAGGGACAUCUAGAGAUCAUCGAGUCCAACCUCCCCUGCCAAAAGCAGGUUCCCUACACUUUUUUCUACUUCCUCUUAUGGACAGCAUCUACUUUCUGUUUAUGGACAGCAUCAGUUUCCUCUUAUAGCUGAAAAA